rnacentral:rRNA from 1 species
UUGCCAAGAAUGUUCCCGUUAAUCAAGAACGAAAGUUAGAGGUUCGAAGGCGAUCAGAUACCGCCCUAGUUCUAACCAUAAACGAUGCCAGCCAGCGAUCCGCCGAAGUUCCUCCGAUGACUCGGCGGGCAGCUUCCGGGAAACCAAAGCUUUUGGGUUCCGGGGGAAGUAUGGUUGCAAAGCUGAAACUUAAAGGAAUUGACGGAAGGGCACCACCAGGAGUGGAGCCUGCGGCUUAAUUUGACUCAACACGGGAAACCUCACCAGGCCCGGACACCGGAAGGAUUGACAGAUUGAGAGCUCUUUCUUGAUUCGGUGGGUGGUGGUGCAUGGCCGUUCUUAGUUGGUGGAGCGAUUUGUCUGGUUAAUUCCGGUAACGAACGAGACUCUAGCCUGCUAAAUAGACGAUUUCCGGUAUCCACAAUAGUGCUACCGGCGAAAUCAAUAUCUUCUUAGAGGGACAGGCGGCUUUCAGCCGCACGAAACUGAGCAAUAACAGGUCUGUGAUGCCCUUAGAUGUCCUGGGCCGCACGCGCGCUACACUGAAGGAAUCAGCGUGUACACCCUGGCCGAAAGGCUCGGGCAACCCGUUGAACCUCCUUCGUGCUAGGGAUUGGGGCUUGCAAUUGUUCCCCAUGAACGAGGAAUUCCCAGUAAGCGCGAGUCAUAAGCUCGCGUUGAUUACGUCCCUGCCCUUUGUACACACCGCCCGUCGCUACUACCGAUUGAAUGAUUUAGUGAGGUCUUCGGACUGGUGCGCGGCGACCGCCUGCGCGGCCGCCGAUGCCACCGGGAAGAUGACCGAACUUGAUC